rnacentral:siRNA from 1 species
AUGUAGAUGACAUGAAAUGUCGAC